rnacentral:lncRNA from 1 species
GUAGAAUAAUGUCAGAUUUCUGAUACAAAAGUGUGGAAUAGUUCGUAAUCCUUACAUACGGAAGAUUCUGAAACAUAAAUACUAGUACCACAUUUUUUAAACCUCUGCCUAUAACAUGGUUAAACUCGACGAACUGUGGUUUAUAGCAAGAAGUCUUCUAAGUGUACCUAUACUGCUACUGCAACUGGAUUAACACCUACUACUGAAUCGGAUUUUAAAAAAAAAUAUUAUGUUGCCAAUGGUUGUUACAAUGUAUAGUCAAAUAUCAAAAUAUUAAGUAUUAUCCACAGA